rnacentral:rRNA from 1 species
UACGAAGGGGGCUAGCGUUGUUCGGAUUUACUGGGCGUAAAGCGCACGUAGGCGGAUCGUUAAGUCAGGGGUGAAAUCCUGGAGCUCAACUCCAGAACUGCCUUUGAUACUGGCGAUCUUGAGUCCGGGAGAGGUGAGUGGAACUGCGAGUGUAGAGGUGAAAUUCGUAGAUAUUCGCAAGAACACCAGUGGCGAAGGCGGCUUACUGGUCCGGUUCUGACGCUGAGGCGCGAAAGCGUGGGGAGCAAACAGG